rnacentral:rRNA from 1 species
GUGGCAGCCGCCGCGGUAAUACGUAGGGUGCGAGCGUUAAUCGGAAUUACUGGGCGUAAAGCGUGCGCAGGCGGUUUUGUAAGUCAGAUGUGAAAUCCCCGGGCUCAACCUGGGAACUGCGUUUGAAACUACAAGGCUAGAGUGUAGCAGAGGGGGGUAGAUUUCCACGUGUAGCAGUGAAUGGCGUAGAGAUGUGGAGGAAUACAAAGGGCGAAGGCAGCCCCCUGGGUUAACACUGACGCCCAUGCACGAAAGCGUGGGGAGCAACCAGGAUUAGACACCCUGGUAGUCCACGCCCUAA